CCUACGGGGGGCAGCAGUGGGGAAUAUUGCACAAUGGGGGAAACCCUGAUCCAGCAACGCCGCGUGAAGGAAGACGGUUUUCGGAUUGUAAACUUCUAUCAAUAGGGAAGAGAAAAAUGACGGUACCUAAAUAAAAAGCCCCGGCUAACUACGUGCAAGCAGCCGCGGUAAUACGUAGGGGGCAAGCGUUAUCCGGAUUUACUGGGUGUAAAGGGAGAGUAGGCGGCAAGAUAAGCCAUAUGUGAAAGCCUUAAGCUUAACUUAAGGAUGGCAUAACGAACUAUCUAGCUAGAGUACAGGAGAGGACAGCGGAAUUCCUAGUGUAGCGGUGAAAUGUGUAGAUAUUAGGAAGAACACCAGUGGCGAAGGCGGAUUUCUGGACUGAAACUGACGCUGAGGCUCGAAAGCGUGGGGAGCGAACAGGAUUAGAUACCCGGGUAGUC
rnacentral:rRNA from 1 species